rnacentral:tRNA from 1 species
AGUAAGAUAGACUAACUCAAGUCAUUGGGUUCAUGCCCCGCAAAUGAAUAUAAUAUUCUCUUACUU